rnacentral:rRNA from 1 species
AACGAACGCUGGCGGCAGGCCUAACACAUGCAAGUCGAACGCUCUCUUCGGAGGGAGUGGCAGACGGGUGAGUAACACGUGGGAACCUACCCCUUGGUACGGAAUAACUGAUGGAAACGUUAGCUAAUACCGUAUGAGCGCUGAGGCGGAAAGAUUUAUCGCCAAGGGAUGGGCCCGCGUAGGAUUAGCUAGUUGGUGGGGUAAAGGCCUACCAAGGCGACGAGCCUUAGCUGGUCUGAGAGGAUGAGCAGCCACACUGGGACUGAGACACGGCCCAGACUCUUACGGGAGGCAGCAGUGGGGAAUAUUGGACAAUGGGCGGAAGCCUGAUCCAGCCAUGCCGCGUGAGUGAUGAAGGCCUUAGGGUUGUAAAGCUCUUUCACCUGGGAAGAUAAUGACGGUACCAGGAGAAGAAGCCCCGGCUAACUUCGUGCCAGCCGCCGCCGUAAGAC